UUUGGGGUUUGGGGUUAGAGGCAUUGACGCACACCCCCAUGCACGCACACACACACACACACACACACACACACACACACACACACACGCACGCACACACGCAUGCACGCACGCACGCACGCACACACACACACGUACGACAGACACGUACUCACACCUCCCAGCUGAUUCUCUCUCUCUCUCUCUCUCUCUCUCUCUCUCUCUUUGUUCUGGGGACAGAUCUGUGUAAACCUGCUGGCAGACAGCUUUUGCCAAAUGACACAAUAAUGGGACCCUCAGUGCUUAUGAUCUUGGGGUUUCUCCUGAGUCAAGCACUCAGCUCAGAUAUGCAGGAUUACCAUGACAUGACCAUCGAGCGUGACGUGACUGGCGUCCUCGGGGAGGAUGUGUACCUGCAUUGCCUCUACCCAGGUAACGACAAUGACACGCUGAUCAUGUCCAGCUGGAGUCGCCUUGGAAGCAAAAAGAAGCUGGCGGUUUACUCCAGCCAGAAAAGCAUCACCUCAGAAGGCUUCUCUGCGCUAUCGUCACCUAGCAACCUGACGGUGAGGAUGCGGGUACUGAGUCUGGAUGCAGAGGGGAAGUACACCUGUGAGUUUGUUUCACUGGAGGACCAGGUGAAGAAACAGGUCUCCCUCACUGUCUUGGUCAGGCCUGACGUUACUGUUGAAGUGGAGGAGGAGACUCAGAGUGGCACCCACUACCAGUCUGUGAGCUGCUCCACCACCAACGCCAAACCGGAACCGCAGAUCAGCUGGGAGAUCGGCGACAGGAACGCCAGCGACGUCAUCUUCUCCGUCCAGAAAGAGAGCGUCCAUCAUGCCAACGGUACCCUGGACCUCACCCAGGUCCUCCGCUUCCCCACCCACCUGAAUGAUGAGGGCACUGUAGUGUGCGUGGUGCAGCACCCGGCCCUGCCUGAGCCAAGGAGAACGGCGGCUCUGGUGCAAACCUUUGUUGCUCCAGACAUAACCAUGGAAACAGGCCUGGUGGUGGAGUCUGGGGAUGGAGGAGAGAGAACGUUGCGGGUUGUCAACUGCACCGCUAUGGGAGGGAGACCUCAACCCGAAAUUGCAUGGAGACUGCCUGGAGAGGAAAACACACUCUCGGCCCGGGUGUGGAGCGAUGAUGGCGUGUUUAUCAGUUCGGUUUCACUCCCUGCUGGGGGUCAUGAGGGGGAGAACGUAACCUGUGUCGUCAGCCACCCGAAGCUCACCAGAAAUGCCAGGACACUGACUCUGCCCAGCUACUAUCUGUCCUCUAUUCAGCUGGUAGUGAACUCCAGCACAGAGAGUGGCACUGCCCUGGAGUCACUUCUCCUGGAGGAGGGGGAGCCUGGCAAGGCCUUGGCACUGGAAGUUUUGGGGGACGUGCCAAGCUAUCAGACUGAGUGCACCAAGGAUAGGGCGUCUCUUCCUCAUGGUGUGGAGUUGUUAGGCGGUGUUCUUAGUUUCAGAGGGCCCAUGGCUCUGUGCUAUGCUGGGCUUUAUGAGUGCCGAGCCUCCUUCUACAAACACACAGCAUCUGUUCAGCUGGACGUCAGUGUUAAACCAGGAAUUCAGGCACCUAUUCUUGUAGUUCCAAACAUAAAGAUGAAAACCUGGAGAGAGCUGGACAGCGUCAUCUUUGAGUGCUCGGCCUUGGAUGCAGUCCCUUCCCCGAAUGUCUCCUGGUCCCUGCCCCCAGAUUUGACUGGAGAGAUGGCACUAAAUACGUCGUCGCGUAACGGAUCUGACAGUGCCACAGCCACUCUGACCCUGUCCGCCUGUUUGCCUGUGGAGCGCACAGUGCUGUGUCUAGUGGAGCAUCCUCUGUUUGAAGACCCAGAGAGCAGAGAGAUAACGCUGCCUGCUUGUGCUCGUCCUAACAUCACGGUGCAGUCCGGCGUCGUGUGGGAGCAGGGCUCGGCCUACGCGGAGGUGGAGUGCAGGGUGGAGAGCGUGAGACCCAGAGCCAACGUCUCCUGGUGUGUGGAGGACAGCCCCUAUGACGGCAGCGAUGUGGAUCUCCUGGGCAAGGAGGACCGAGCUGAAGGUGUGGAGGGGCUGGUGGUGACCAGUGUGCUGCAGCUGCCCUUUGCCGAGUACCUGGGCAAGAGUGUGGUCUGCGUGGUGAGGCAUCAGAGUCUGCUGGACCCAGAGAGGAGGGUGGUCCAGGUUCAGCCUACAGAGCCCGCAGAGACCCGUGCCAUCCUGGUGACCGAGUACGACUUCCCUCGUUUGCGUGCCGUGUGUGUAUACUCUGGCCAAUCAGGCAGUGUCAACAUCACCUGGCUCCUCCCUGACAAUAACACUGCAGAGAGAGUGGUUUCAUCCUCGGUCCGUGAGGGGUCAAAGUUCAGAGCCAACGCCUCUUACGAGUUCCCCCUGGAGCGUCACGAGGGCAGAGCCCUGACCUGCAUAAUACACCAGGAGCACGGCCCAGUGGAGAGGAGGGUAGUUCAGGUCCCUCUGUACUAUAUCUCCUCUGUGAGUGUGAUGAACAAAACCACUCGUGUUUACGGCGAAGAAGUAGUGCUGCACCGAGUGGCCCUGAGGCAACAUCUCUCCCACCAGAAGAUACUUCUCCGAGUCAACGGCAAUGUUCCCAACAGCCAGAUCGUCUGUUCCAGGAGUGACAGCUCAGCUGCACCAUCAGUGCAAGACACAUCAGCGCUGAGCAGCGCUCUGGUGUUCCCCAUGGCCGUUUCUCAGCGGGAGGCGGGCCAGUACGUCUGCCGAGCCUCCUUCCACCACCACAGCGCCACGGUCUACAUCCUGGUGGAGGUGACCAGCGAGGAGGCUGAACACAUGACCUUCAUCAGCAUCUGCUUCUCCACUGCCCUUGCCAUCAUACUCAUCGUCAUCGUCACCCUGUGUGUUUUCUGCAAGAGACACGGCCACCCUGCUGAGAAGGAAAACCGUAAGAAACUCGAGUCCAUUUCCACCCUGACAUCUCUCAUGCAUGACCCGCGUUCUCCGGAGCUGAAGAAAGCUGCACUGCCAGGGGUGAGAGGUCACCAGUACGCUGAGCUGGUCUCCAUCAUCCUGGUGGAGAAGACCACCGUUUGAGUUUUUGCAUAACAUCGCAGAAGUACUUCUGAUUUCCUACAGAAAUACAGUAAAGUUUGAGAUCAGCCAGUUUGAGGUCUUUGCAAUGUAUGGCUGUUGACCACGUGUCACAGUCGGCUUCAUACAUUCAAUUACUUUUUUUUCUCUUUCGAAAUGAUCUCCAUUAUUCUUGUGGAGAAGUUCACGAGUUGAGAGCAGGUGUUUUGGCACUUUCACAUGACAUCAUGAAUUAAUUACUGACUGGGCUUUUGUGUCCCUCCUGAGUUUGAAUGUGAUCAGUGUUGAGGUGGAGGGGACAUCCAUGUUCAGAGAUGUGAAGCAGAUUUAUUAAAUGCAUGAGAGCUGAAGAAGGCCUCACUGCCAGAGUGUGCUUCUCCUCGUGGAGAAGGCUGCAGUUUGAGAGUUUUUCGGUAAAAACAUCAUAGGAGUAAUACUGAUUUCUACCCAAAAUUAAAAUGAAGUUUACUGUUUAACACAGAGUUUGAAAGAGUUUUGUACAUGUUUUUUUGCACCGCAUUGCUUUAUUAGUUCAGCAGUUGUUUUUCCUGUUUUGGGCUGACCUUGGUCCUUCUAUCCUUGUGGAGAGGCAUGAAGAAGUCUGUUUGAGAGCAGAGUUUGAAAAGGUUUUCUACUUCUUUUGCACAAUAUGGCUGUUGACCAUGGAAGUGUCACAGUUGGCUUUAUACAUUCAAUAGUUUUUUUUUCUGUUUUGAGAUCCUUCUCCAUAGUCCUCAUGGAGCCCAACUCCACUGUUUGAGAGCAGGUGUUGCUGAGUUUUUAAAUAAUAGCACAGAGGUACUACUGAUUUCCACUCAAAAUAAAAAUUAAGAAGUUCAGUUUGUGAGCA
ensembl:lncRNA